rnacentral:rRNA from 1 species
UACGAAGGGGGCUAGCGUUGUUCGGAAUUACUGGGCGUAAAGGGCGCGUAGGCGGUGUGUCAAGUCAGGCGUGAAAGCCCCGGGCUCAACCUGGGAACCGCGCUUGAGACUGGCACGCUCGAGUUCGGGAGAGGAUGGUGGAAUUCCCAGUGUAGAGGUGGAAUUCGUAGAUAUUGGGAAGAACACCGAUGGCGAAGGCAGCCAUCUGGACCGACACUGACGCUGAGGCGCGAAAGCGUGGGGAGCAAACAGG